AACAUCGCGCACCUGCGGGAACCUGCGGAGGGAUCAUUACCGAGUGUGGUCCCUUAUAAGGGGCGCCUCCCGUCCUUUGCAGGGCCUUUAGGGGCUUUUUGACUUUGCUUCGGCGGGCUUGCCCCGCCGGAACACCCUCAAGAAAAUCUUUAUGAACCGUUUGUCUGAGUUGCUUGCGAAUAAAAACAAAACUUUCAACAACGGAUCU
rnacentral:misc_RNA from 1 species